ACAUCCAUGAGCACAAGAUUUCUACUACAUAACACUUAAGCAGCAAAUGGUCCGUAACACGAUUCAUGAUUACAAUUGAGUUGGCUGGUCCAAAAUACUGCAGACAUCCAAAUGCUCCAUAACACUUCAAAGUCAUCACAUACAUGCGUACUAGGUUGCUGAUUACCUGAAAAUACUCUACAAGAAUUUGGAAGAAAGUGCAGUCAGCUCAAGUGCUUUGAAGCUCUCAUAGGGAGAUUGGCAUCCAAGAGAAUCAUAAGAAUCAAGUAUUUAUGACAUAUGUCCAUAACACACAUAAAAUAGUUCUAUCAUACAUGCGGUCAAAUAUUUAUAAAAUGCUGAAAGGAAUCAUCAUGCAAACAUAUCUAGAUAUACAUAGAAUAAGCAUUUCACCAUGGCAGGCAAAUCUACAAAUUUUAUUCAACAUCUUACAUGCAAGAAACUGUAGUAGGAUUAGCCAAUGUGAAGUUGUAUUUGUUCUAAUAGGAAGUUAGCUGAUGUGAUCUUCAAAGUUCGAAAAUAAUUGUACAAUAAUUGUGUUUGUACGUUAUAUGAUGAAGUAGAACGAAAAUGUACAACUUCUGACCAAAUAAAUUGUAGUAUGUUAAGUUCAGUUUAUGCCAUGUUAUCUUCAGAUUGUGACCACCAAAGGCAUAACACCAAACUGAUAUGUGUAUGUUAACUCCUAAGCAAUGUAUGUGCGCUUCAGAUCAUGUUGUGUCAUUUUCAUAUUUUUAAUUAUAAACUACAGUAUGUGGAGUUCAGUUUUAUCAACGAGAUACAAAAUCUUACUCCCACCGUCCGAAAAAGCUUGUCCCUCAAAUGGAUGUAUAUAGCACCAAGUUAGUGCUAGAUACAUUCAUUUGAAAGACAAGUUUGGGACAAGCUUUUUCGGACGGAGGGAGUAUCUAGUAAUGCUAUAAGUUCAGGCAUAAAACUGGCGCUCUAGUCAAGGCUCAAAAUGAUCUAUGCAUAUUUCUAAGAGAGAAACAAUAAACUUAAUGUAUGUAGUAUGUUUUAGUACCUGUACCUCCUGGUACAUUAGUUGCUUUCUUGUCAUCCUUGAUCUACAACAAUAACCGUUACUUCAUAGAAAUAAAUGUUGCCUUCUUAUCAGUUUGAGGCUGCUUCUUUCACCGCAAAUUGCUCUGACAAAAUGUGUAGACAUGUAUCAACCAUCCUUCAAAAAAAUGUGUUCAAUAUAGAUAACUCGGCUUCCCAAAUCAAAUCAUAAAGUAAAGGCCAAAGGUCUGCAAGUUAUGUACUUGGUUAGUAUACUGAAUGAACUUGUCAAAAGAACAAAUAUUAUGCCAGCAACCAGCGUGAACACGAACAUCUCAUAAAAGUAUUGAAAGUCUGAAUCCUGAGACUAUCUAGCCACUGCAUCGAGGCGGUUGACUCUACAGUUGGAAUUCACAUGUCCAAACAAUACGGUGUGAGGCACUAUGAGAAGGUGCCCCUAAUGUUUGAAUGUGAUCGGAACUUGCAAUUUUCCCCUCUGGAAACAGUAUGCAACUUCAAGUAGUUGAAGGUAUGUGGAUGUAGAGGAAGAUGAGAGUAUAUGUUGAGCCUAAGGUUUGAAUGCUAAUGCCAUAUUCAUGCAGAAGGAAAACAACACCGUUCUCACAUAAAAAAUUUAUAUCAAAGACACUGUUAUCCAUAAAUAUCUAGUGUAGAUGAUGCAGAAUAAAAUUGGAAUGUGCCUCCUUAAACACUGAGUAGACUCAGGGUCCACCUCGGCGCCCUCCGCUCCCCACCUCCUCAGCCUUGUUGCCAGGUAGUACCGCAUACUCACUGUCUGCAAGCUCACCAUCAUGUACACCCGCUCCUGCAGCACGAAGCGCGUCGACCCAAAAUUAAACCAUGAAGCAUCAGAAACUAAAUGAUGUUAUAGCACAAACAACAUUCAGUUCUACAGCGAAGUUGAAGCCAACUUGAUAGUUAGCACUAUAUAAUUUAGAAAUAUGUAUUGACAAUCAAAAGUGCUUCCUGUAAAAAAAUAGAGGUUAUGCACCUCCAGGAGCCUCCAUUUGACCACGCCAACUCACCCAAAAAACUGGAAGUCACACAAUGGGUCGUGGCUUUAAAUAACAAAACUGAACCACCUAGAAAUCAGGAAGUCACACAAUGCUAACAACAUAUGAAUUUAACCCAUAUCAAAUGUUAAACGAAUAAUUACUUUCUAAUUUAAAGGAGAUAAAGAGUUCAGAAUAGUAUGAAGAAUAUAUAAAUGAAAAUCAGCUAUGAGACAUGGAUGUCAGAUGGCUCGCUAUGUUUUGUAGCACCAAUCUGUGUAUCCAAAUUGAGAUGCUGAGAAACAUGAAUAAGAACUGUAAAAUCAACAAAUCUUAGCAGAAGAUAUGAAAGUGUUACCCUAAUUUUCAGAGUUCAGCAAUGACAUAUGGUUCAAAGUUCAGCAAUGUACAAGCACACAGCAGUACAUAAAAGGAUAUCUCAGGAGGAGCCGAUGCUUACCUAUUGGAAAAACGAGUGUUGUGCGGAGAUCUGCAGCAACGGACGGCUGCCUUCGCGAGGGGCGCAGCGGGAUGAAGAGCUCGUGGAUGGAUCUCUACCGACUACC
rnacentral:lncRNA from 1 species